GAGGAAGAGGAGGAUCUGGAGGUAUGAGUUAUAGGAGAUGAAGAGGAGGAUCUGGAGGUAUGGGUUAUAGGAGAUGAAGAGGAGGAUCUGGAGGUUAUAGGAGAUGAAGAGGAGGAUCUGGAGGUAUGAGUUAUAGGAGAGGAAGAGGAGGAUCUGGAGGUAUGGGUUAUAGGAGAGGAGGAUCUGGAGGUAAGGGUUAUAGGAGAUGAAGAGGAGGAUCUGGAGGUAUGGGUUAUAGGAGAGGAAGAGGAGGAUCUGGAGGUUAUAGGAGAGGAAGAGGAGGAUCUGGAGGUAUGGGUUAUAGGAGAUGAAGAGGAGGAUCUGGAGGUAUGGGUUAUAGGAGAGGAAGAGGAGGAUCUGGAGGUUAUAGGAGAGGAAGAGGAGGAUCUGGAGGUAAGGGUUAUAGGAGAUGAAGAGGAGGAUCUGGAGGUAUGAGUUAUAGGAGAGGAAGAGGAGGAUCUGGAGGUAUGGGUUAUAGGAGAGGAAGAGGAGGAUCUGGAGGUAUGAGUUAUAGGAGAGGAAGAG